rnacentral:rRNA from 1 species
UACGGAGGGUGCAAGCGUUAUCCGGAUUCACUGGGUUUAAAGGGUGCGUAGGCGGGCAGGUAAGUCAGUGGUGAAAUCUCCGAGCUUAACUCGGAAACUGCCAUUGAUACUAUUUGUCUUGAAUAUUGUGGAGGUAAGCGGAAUAUGUCAUGUAGCGGUGAAAUGCUUAGAUAUGACAUAGAACACCAAUUGCGAAGGCAGCUCACUACUCAAUCAUUGACUCUGAGGCACGAAAGCGUGGGGAUCAAACAGG